UACGAAGGGGGCUAGCGUUGCUCGGAAUCACUGGGCGUAAAUGGUGCGUAGGCGGGUCUUUUAGUCAGGGGGGAAAUCCUGGAGCUCAACUCCAGAACUGCCUUUGAUACUGAAGAUCUUGAGUUCGGGAGAGGUGAGUGGAACUGCGAGUGUAGAGGUGAAAUUCGUAGAUAUUCGCAAGAACACCAGUGGCGAAGGCGGCUCACUGGCCCGAUACUGACGCUGAGGCACGAAAGCGUGGGGAGCAAACAGG
rnacentral:rRNA from 1 species